rnacentral:miRNA from 1 species
GUAGUCUGCGUGCUGGCCGCCA